AACGAACGCUGGCGGCAGGCUUAACACAUGCAAGUCGAACGCCCGGCAAGGGGAGUGGCAGACGGGUGAGUAACGCGUGGGAAUCUACCCAGAUCUUCGGAACAACUGAGGGAAACUUCAGCUAAUACCGGAUACGCCCUACGGGGGAAAGAUUUAUCGGUUCUGGAUGAGCCCGCGUUGGAUUAGCUAGUUGGUGGGGUAAUGGCCUACCAAGGCGACGAUCCAUAGCUGGUCUGAGAGGAUGAUCAGCCACACUGGGACUGAGACACGGCCCAGACUCCUACGGGAGGCAGCAGUGGGGAAUAUUGGACAAUGGGCGAAAGCCUGAUCCAGCCAUGCCGCGUGAGUGAUGAAGGCCUUAGGGUUGUAAAGCUCUUUCAGUAGGGAAGAUAAUGACGGUACCUACAGAAGAAGCCCCGGCUAACUUCGUGCCAGCCGCCGCGGUAACAC
rnacentral:rRNA from 1 species